rnacentral:rRNA from 1 species
AUUGAACGCUGGCGGCAGGCCUAACACAUGCAAGUCGAGCGGAUGACGGGAGCUUGCUCCUUGAUUCAGCGGCGGACGGGUGAGUAAUGCCUAGGAAUCUGCCUGGUAGUGGGGGACAACGUUUCGAAAGGAACGCUAAUACCGCAUGCGUCCUACGGGAGAAAGCAGGGGACCUUCGGGCCUUGCGCUAUCAGAUGAGCCUAGGUCGGAUUAGCUUGUUGGUGAGGUAAUGGCUCACCAAGGCGACGAUCCGUAACUGGUCUGAGAGGAUGUGCAGUCACACUGGAACUGAGACACGGUCCAGACUCCUACGGGAGGCAGCAGUGGGGAAUAUUGGACAAUGGGCGAAAGCCUGAUCCAGCCAUGCCGCGUGUGUGAAGAAGGUCUUCGGAUUGUAAAGCACUUUAAGUUGGGAGGAAGGGUUGUAGAUUAAUACUCUGCAAUUUUGACGUUGCCGACAGAAUAAGCACCGGCUAACUCUGUGCCAGCAGCCGCCGUAAGAC